GAUCCUGGCUCAGGACGAACGCUGGCGGCGUGCCUAACACAUGCAAGUCGAACGGAAGCAGAGAUUUCGGUUUUUGCUUUAGUGGCGAACGGGUGAGUAACGCGUGAGGAACCUGCCUUUCAGUGGGGGACAACAGUUGGAAACGACUGCUAAUACCGCAUAAUGCUUUUUGAUGGCAUCAUUGAAAAGCCAAAGAUUUAUUGCUGAAAGAUGGCCUCGCGUCUGAUUAGCUGGUUGGUAGGGUAACGG
rnacentral:rRNA from 1 species